CUCGGAUAUGCACGGGAAUUGGAACAAAGCUGAGGAUCAGUAACAGAUUAAUGACAGCACUGAUUAUGAGAAACUGACUGCAUGAUACCAGAGUUCAAAUGGAGCCCAAGCUAAUGGGAUGAACGUGCCUGGACAUGCAAUUAUUUGUGCAGUCUCAAUUCGGCUUUGGUGGGCCUUGGGCGCAACACAAAUAAAUGCGAUAAUCUUCCUCAGUGCAAGUAAAUGUCAGCCAUGGAAUAAAAUGGAAACUGACUAUGAGACCUCCAAGCUUAAUAAGACUGAUAAUAUAAAUCCUGGAUUGUCAUGGAUCGUCAUGGAAAUCUUCAAAGAGAGAGACUUAAGAGGAAGAGAUGCAAGGCAAAUAAAGGAACAAGGAUUUAAAGUUCCUACAGUUGUAGUCUCAGUGCGUUAGUGGGCUGACGUGUUGGUGUGGGCUUGUAUGCUGUGAAGGCCACAUCAUGAAAACAGCCAGUGGCUAUCCCUGCACUGUAAGUGAAGAAAUAUAUUCUAUCACACUCUGUUGGAAGCCAGGCAAAUCAAUGAAGUCACCAUUGAAAAGGAACUAGCAAACAAGACAGUCGACCAAAUUGUAAAGCCAAGAAUGUGAAGUCAGUUGCUUCACUCCCAACAUCAGCAUGACCAUUAUCAUCCAACCGAAUAGCUGGAAAGGUCCACCAAAUUCUCUUCAUGGAACCAGGAGACUGAUCUGUAUGUCUUCUUAUUAGUUGUCUUUUUAUUCAAUUCACAUUU